rnacentral:rRNA from 1 species
AUGAUUGCUUUAAAGCUUGAUUUUCGAAAAGCUUUUGACAGUGUCAACUAGGACGCUCUAAAACAAAUCCUAGCGGCAAGAGGUUUUGGGGACAGAUGGAUCAGAUGGGUGGACUCUAUUCUGACAACAAGCUCCUCCAGAAUUCUUAUCAAUGGCAACCCUGGCGAACGGAUACUCUCAAAAUGUGGACUCCGGCAAGGUGACGCCCUGUCCCCGUACCUCUUCAUUCUGGUCGCGGAUAUUCUCCAACAACUUUGCCAAAAAGAGUACCGGGAGGGGAACCUUUUGCACCCCUUGGGAGUAGACGGGCCUCUCCUAAUCCUGCAGUAG